GAUGAAGAACGUAGCGAAAUGCGAUACGUAAUGUGAAUUGCAGAAUUCAGUGAAUCAUCGAAUCUUUGAACGCAUAUUGCGCUCUUUGGUAUUCCGAAGAGCAUGCUUGUUUGAGUAUCAGUAAACACCUCAACCUCUUCUUGAUUUUUCAAAAGGAGGGUGGACUUGAGCUAUCACAACAACCUUUACCGGUCGGCGGGCGGCUUGAAAUGCAGGUGCAGCUGGACUUUUAUCUGAGCUAAAAGCAUAUCUAUUUAGUCCUCGUCAAACAGGAUUAUUACUUUUGCUGCAGCUAACAUAAAGGAUAAUUGUCCUCUUUGCUGACUGAUGCAGGAUUUUACGACACUUUAUGUGUUGUUCAACUCGAUCUCAAAUCAAGUAAGACUACCCGCUGAACUUAAGCAUAUCAAUAAGCGGAGGA
rnacentral:misc_RNA from 1 species